GCUUCCUUCUGCCUGUCUGGAUUUUGCACCCUGUGGUGGAACAAUCGGCCAGGUGCUUAUUUCUCGGAAGAACGUAAGCUCCAUGAUGGUGGAGACCAUGCCUGUCAACAUCCGUGUUUUCUCUGCUCAGCCAAAGUUUCAACCAAGAACAUCAGGAACUAGAUGACCUCUGGUCUCUGGAAAGCCUGUUCUCAGCUCUGUCCCCACCUGUGGCUGCGCCAUUUUACACUCCCAUCCACAAUAUAUCCACAAAGUCUCC